AUGGUUGACAAUGAGAACAACAUGACUGCAUCUGGCAAUUGGGAGGAUGCCCUUGCUGGUCUGACAGCUCCAAGCAAGAAGCGUGGAGUUGGGCGGCCAUGCUCGAGCAAAGAGAAAGCGCCGUACGAAGGCUUGAGUAAACGAACAAGGUUUUUUUCGGUAUAUGUAAACUCCCAGGGCAUAAGAGGACCACCUGCCCAGACAGGGGUGAUGUGCCAAAACAAACUCGCAAGCCUGUUACCUGCAAGAACUGUGGUGUUACGGGGCACCGUCGCACCUCCUGCACGAGGCCGCUUGUCACCAAUGCAUUUUAAUAACUUUAGAUAUCGUGUGUAA
rnacentral:rRNA from 1 species